rnacentral:rRNA from 1 species
AUUGAACGCUGGCGGCAGGCCUAACACAUGCAAGUCGAGCGGAGCGGCGGACGGGUGAGUAAUGCCUAGGAAUCUGCCUGGUAGUGGGGGAUAACGUCCGGAAACGGGCGCUAAUACCGCAUACUAUCAGAUGAGCCUAGGUCGGAUUAGCUAGUUGGUGGGGUAAAGGCCUACCAAGGCGACGAUCCGUAACUGGUCUGAGAGGAUGAUCAGUCACACUGGAACUGGGAGACGGUCCAGACUCCUACGGGAGGCAGCAGGGGGAAAGAUUGGACAAUGGGCGAAAGCCAGCUCCAGCCAUGCCGCGAGUGUGAAGAAGGUAUUCGGAUGUCAAAGCACGUUAAGUUGGGAGGCGUUACCAACAGAAUAAGCACCGGCUAACUUCGUGCCAGCAGCCGCGGUAAUUC